rnacentral:rRNA from 1 species
AUACGGAGGAUCCGAGCGUUAUCCGGAUUUAUUGGGUUUAAAGGGUGCGCAGGCGGCCAUUUAAGUCAGCGGUUAAAUCGUGGGGCUCCACCCCAUUCUGCCGUUGAUACUGGGUGGCUUGAUUGCGGUCGAGGAUGUCGGAAUUCGUUGUGUAGCGGUGAAAUGCAUAGAUAUGACGAAGAACACCGAUUGCGUAGGCAGCUGACCAGACCGCAAAUGACGCUCAUGCACGAAAGUGCGGGGAUCGAACAGGAUUAGAUACCCUGGUAGUCCGCACAGUAAACGAUGAAUACUUGUUUUCGGCGAUAUAAUGUCGGAGGCAAAGCGAAAGCGAUAAGUAUUCCACCUGGGGAGUACGCCGGCAACGGUGAAACUCAAAGGAAUUGACGGGG